GACGAACCGAGCGAACGUUGUUCGGAAUUACUGGGCGUAAAGCGUGCGUAGGCGGUUAUUCAAGUCAGAGGUGAAAGCCUGGAGCUCAACUCCAGAACUGCCUUUGAAACUAGAUAACUAGAAUCUUGGAGAGGUGAGUGGAAUUCCGAGUGUAGAGGUGAAAUUCGUAGAUAUUCGGAAGAACACCAGUGGCGAAGGCGACUCACUGGACAAGUAUUGACGCUGAGGUACGAAAGCGUGGGGAGCAAACAGG
rnacentral:rRNA from 1 species